CAGGCCUCCCUCUGUCCUGUGGCAUAGCCUCGGCACAUCCCGUCUUACCUACCUCGGCCCCUGCUCCCCGACCUUCACACCCCAUCUCGCGAGUCAUGGCUCGCACAGACACUGCUGAGUGGAACAGCGGUGGCAGGAGCUUGUUUACAAGUCCCUGGGCUCGAUUCCUGGAAGGAUAAUUCCUGGGUCACUUGACAUUCUGAUCAAUGUGGUCUGAUGGCCUCCCCCUAAGACCCUGCCCAGCGGAGGAUGAGUGUUUCUUUACACCCUUCCCAGCCUGGAUGGAAUCGCUCCUGAAGCUUCUGGCCAAGCGGAGAGGCAAACAUCUCCGUAAACUUGUAACUCCAGCUCUUGAUACCUGGCCUGCUAGGGCACCUGUAAAACCCCAGCCCUUGAGUGGGGAGGGCUUUCCAGGCUACCCAGGCAACUUCUUGCACCCCCUGCCGCCACCCCGGAGUUCACAGAUGGGGAAACUGACACUCCAGCUGGCAGACGAUUUGCCCACUGUUCCAGUUCAAAGAACACUCACUCACAAGCCAGUCAGUCCUAAAGGAAAUCAGCCUUGAGUAUUCAUUGGAGGGACUGAUGCUGAAGCUGAAGCUCCAAUACUUUGACCAUCUGAUGCGAAGAGCCGAUUCACUGGAAAAGAUCCUGAUGCUGGGAAAGACUGAGGGCAGAAGGGAGUGACAGAGGAUGAGAUGGUUGGAUGGCAUCACCGACCAAUAGACACGAGUCUGAGUGAACCCGGGGACAUGGUGAAGGACAGGGAAGCCUGGCAUGCUCCAGUCCAUGGGGUCGCAGAGUAGGAUAUGACUUGGCGACUGAACAAACACAAAGAACAAUGAAGAUUUCUUCUUCCAGCAGUUAGUUAUUUCCUGAACACUCCAGACUUUGAACCGGUGCUGGAGGUGGUGAGCUGGGCAGAACGGUGCUCCUAGGAUCUCAGGGAGGCAGGAGCUACGGAAAAUCUUCCAAAGGUGGAUUCUUUACCAGCUGAGCCAGAAGGAAGCCCGUAUUUUGGGAAAAAACACUGGGAGGAAACACAUCAAAGCCAACACAAUCACGCAAAUCAGCUGGACUUCAAUGCCGAGCCCCAUCGUCCACCCUGACCCGACCUUGACUCACAGCUCUGCUGCUAGAAAUGUAUCUACUUCGACAUCAAAGGGAGUGUCCACUGAGGUGGUGUGUGCAGGAAAUGGGAAGCACCCAGUUUCCUUAAUGGGGGAAUGGCCGCAUCACUUGCGGCAAAUCCAUACACAGAAAUACCACGGAAGGCAUAAAAGGCACAGGUUAGAGCUAUCUGGACCCACAGACCUGGAGGGCACGCCAUGAUGGCGAGGAAAGUGAACUGCAGCCAGAGGUACGAAACCACUUUUGUGACAACAAAGGCCCGGAGCGCUGAUAAGCAGGUGCCUGCGGAGACGUGGAGGGUCAGCGGGGUGAAGGGGGGUAACGUGACUCUGGUGGCCUGAAGAGAGGAUGGGAGAGACAACUGCGGACUGGGAGAGAAAUCAGCACUGCUGAUGAGGGCUGUAGAGCAGUCUAACACAGUGCUGCUGCUGCCGCCAAGUCGCUUCAGUCGUGUCUGACUGUGUGUGACCCCAUAGACGGCAGCCCACCAGGCUCCCCCUAUCCCUGGGAUUCUCUAGGCAAGAACACUGGAGUGGGUUGCCAUUUCCUUCUCCAAUGCAUGAAAGUGAAAAGUCAAAGGGAAGUCGCUCAGUCGUGUCUGACUCUUAGCAACCCCAUGGACUGCAGCCCACCAGGCUCCUCCGUCCACAGGAUUUUCCAGGCAAGAGCGCUGGAUAGUGCCACAAAUAUGUAAAUACGGAACGUGUACAGCAACGAGACCUAGAUGGCGUAAGAAAACUGAAAAAAUACACCAAUUUAGAAGCUGGGAAUGCAGAUUAAGUUUUCUCUAGGAUUUACUUCAGUACUUCAGCCUUUUUCAGACAUGCAAAAAAAAAGACGCCAUUCGGUAAAAAGUUGUGAAUGGGGACGAGGAUAGCAUGGUCUCUUGACGUUCUGAACUGGACUUGAGCCCGAGCGUGCGGUGCCUGCCUGUGACCCACGGGCCUCCAGGCCUGGCAAACAUGGCAAGUGUAAGGAAGGGGCUGUACCCGCAGCUCCUGUCUUCUCAGGACUGGCCUCCUCUCUGAGUGAGGCUUCUCCCUUCUGCACCCACUUCCCAGGCCGACUCCGCAGCC
ensembl:lncRNA